UUAUUCGAACUAUUGAAUUAAGGCUUUCCUAUCUCAUCCUAUUUCGAAUCUUAUAGCGUUUUCUUUUCUACACGAAUAUGUUGCCAUACCGAGGUACGAAAGUCUUUUAAAGGUGCACUUCACCCUGUGAAUUUGGCACCCCGCUUAAGGUUCAGUGUAGCCCUUCACACUUACAAAGGAUCACAAACUGCAACCCUGAAAUGCAAUCAGCUUUUUUUUCGCGCGCUAAACGGAGUGCAAUUUAAAGAAAUUUUGGUGUCCAAUUGAAAAUUAAUAAAUACAAAAUAAUGCAAGCUAAAGAAGAAAGUCCCAAUUGCAGCAAAAUAGUUACAGUAUGGACGAAAGGCGAAACGAGACUCUUGCUGGAUAAGUACGCUUCCUUUUCGCCGGACGUUGGGCCCUUCAAGCAGUUAAAGACAAAGAAGGAAAUGUGGAUGAAGAUUGGCGCUGAGUUCGACGGGAAAAGUUGGAAGCAGUGUGAAGAAAGGUAUAAGACCAUCAUGAUACGAAAAAAGGCGGCAGUGGAAAACAACAGCAGCUCAGGUGCAAAACGCCAAAAGCUGCAGUUUGAAGAAGAGCUAGAAAAAAUUUGCAAACUGGAUGAUUCCAUUGAGCCGGCAAUAAAACUGAGUUGCCACUGUGUAGUUAAAAAGAGGUCUCACCAAAAGAAAAGCAAAGAAAGAAAAAAACGAUGCAAGAAACUCUAGUUGAAAUUGCUGCUAGGAAAGAGGAAGCCAGGGAGAAGCGACACAAGGAAAGAAUGGAGAAAGUUACAAGAAUCGAAAGCCUUAUGGAAAAAUGUUUGACUGAAAACAAACCAGCUUAAAGCUGUGGGUGUGCGAGAUAUACUUAUAAAAUCAGCUCUUGGUUUGCAGACUUCUGCAAAUGGAUGUAAAAUGAUUGCAAGUGUCUUUCGUUUCCGGCCCAACGUUUCGCCAAAUAACAUUUUCACCGGCGCCCUUCGCUUAUUUACAACAACUGCCUUUUCUCCAUCACCAUAUCUAUGCCAUUGACGGCCAAAUCCACAUCACCUUUAUACGGCGUGUUCGGAAACACUGCUCUUGCUAGUGGUUCGAAUUUCGGAGCAACUUGAACAGCAACAACGGCACCAACAGAACAUUCGGUUUAACCUUGACAAACCUGUACCUGUACAAACAUUCCCCAAGCCAUACAAUUAUACCCACUUUGACGUUGCUGCCGGUGAUUUUGUAUUGCCAGAUGAGUCGACCGUUGCACCAAUCGUGGCAUUGGCAAAAACACAUUUAUAGAUUUAGGCGCAUAACUAGCGUUUGCAAUUAUACGACA